GAGACCGAAUAUCUUAGAAACAACAUCCUAAAAAUUUGGCGCCCAUGUCGUACCAACAACCGGUAGAAGCUUGCCCUGGCAGGGCCUGUACGUAGCUGAGACCCUGUGUGCUUUACUCAGGUUACCCCAAGUUGUGAACCAAAGGAAGAUAUAGGGUUAUUUCUUGGUCCAUUGUGGGCAUGAUUUAGUUUAGUUUUUGUGGUACGUGCUUGGGACUUGGACAACAAAUCUGGAGCUAAUAGUUUACCCAAGCUACUUCAUUAACCCCUUUUCUUUUGUUAGAUUCAGAUUUACUAUAUGAUUUAUGUAAGUGUGCUGUCAUCUUGCAGGUUUGCAAAGAGGAAUUUAGAUGAGUAUGUAUUUCUUGGCAAUCGGCUGCAGGUGUAUAUGCACCUUAGUUUGAGAGAUUUUUGGAUACCAAGAAGAAACUGAAGGUCGGGAGAAAUGAAGUCCUCAACCAAAUAAGAUGUAUGGUUUCACCAUUUUCUAAAAAAAUCUGCAUCUUAUAAUUUAGUGUUGUGAUGAUAAAAAUAAUAAGAAUUUGCGGUUAGGGAAGGAGGUCCAGGUUGAAGGACAAUAAAAAAUAAUGUAGUGUAGCAUGUCUAAUUUUUCAAUUCGAACCAUUUAAAUGUAGAUUCAUGUGUAUUGUUUCCUUAUCAUUGUUAUAAAGAAAUUCCAACGGUACUUGAGCACUCCUUGCAUAUUUUUUACCAUACACCCUCAUAUGUCUAUAUCUUUUUUGUAUCCUUAUGUGACGGUGGAUGUUGAUACAAAACAUGGAUAAAUUGGCGGCAGCCUUAUAUCGUACUGCACAUGAUUAGCUCCAAAGUUGAGUUACUCAACUAUAUUUACCUAUAUGGAAAACAAUAUCGAGCAAAAAAAUUUAAAAAAUAUUUUCCUGUGUUAUGUUAUUUGUCAACAUAACCCCUGAUAUUGCGUCGUCGUCCUCACCGGAAGCAGCACCGCCUCUGCCCCGUGCGGCGUUGUCGUCCCCAUCAAGCCGCACCAGAGGGAGAUGCUUAGCUGUGGCCACACAAACGGAUGGGGACGUCAAGCCAAGCUGGUGGCUGGCGGCCUACCAUCGCGUCAACUUACACAGGAUAGGAGAGCCCUCGAAAAAAAAACACAGGAUAGGACCAGAGGAAUCUUGAUCGCGGCAUCCAGACCUGGAGUGGAGGACAUGGGUCGCCAUGAAGCAAUUGCCCCUUCGUUGUGAAGUUGCAGCUGUGUACAGAAGCUUUUUGUGUAAAUGCCUACGACCACAGACCGCUCCUGGAAGAAUGCUCACAACUCAGCUUGAAUUUGUAAGUUAAUUGUCCUCUCAGAUGCACCCCUCUUGAUGUUUUAUAUGUUUCAACAUGGAUUCUUGGUUCCUAUAAAUUUACAGGUUAUGAUGUUGUGAUGAACUUGCAGCAAUGAAGUGAUUUGGGUAACAUCUUGCUUUUUAAAAUGACUUUCAUUUACUUCUGUGGCAUUGAAGGAGCGACACAAUUCCUCCCAACUACAGAAUUUGCAGCGGCUGAAGAUUCUAGAAGUACAGAGAUAAAAUGCUUCAUGUGAUGAGUGGUGUAAUUAAAUUGGAGAGAAACAUGAAGAAGUUUGAUGGCACCCAUUCUUAGGUUGAAAAUUGAAUGUCCGAUCCAUUACUUGCUCUUUUUUGCUUUAUCACUUUAUUAUGUAGUUCCUGAUUUUGGAAGAUGUAUUAUCUGGUCAUCGCUUGCAUUUGACUACAUUUGUGCGAUUUGUAAUGUAAUUCAUCCAGUAUACGGGUUAUACAUUUGGUAGCAAAUUUGAAUUUUCUUGGAUAUACAUAUAUCUGAUUUAUUCAUUUGGUUUAGAGUCCAA